CACGGCUGACUGGCACUUGGAGAAGUGGCAAGUCUUCCAGUAUGGGGAGCAAAACAGCUAUGGGUCAAGUCCGAUAUCUUUAGGAGAAGUCUUAUUGUGAGGGCGAGUUAUAUAACACCAUAGGACUGGCCGUCCCAUAUGAAAAGAUUAUAUUAGAAUUGAAUGAAGCUUUGUUUAUAUAUUGAUAAUGACAGUAUAUAUAUCGUGUCUUGACUAAUUGCGUGCCAGCAGUCGCGGUAAUACGUAAGAGACUAGUGUUAUUCAUCUUAAUUAGGUUUAAAGGGUACCCAGACGGUCAAUAUAGCUUAUAAAAUGUUAGUACUUGACUAGAGUUUUAUGUAAGAGGGCAGUACUUGAGGAGGAGAGAUGAAAUUUCGUGAUACCAAAGGGACUCUGUAAAGGCGAAGGCAGCCCUCUAUGUAAAAACUGACGUUGAAGGACGAAGGCACAGAGAACAAACAGGAUUAGAUACCCAAGUAGUCUUUGCAGUAAAUGAUGAAUGCCAUAGGUUAGAUUGAUCAAUUAUAGUCUAGGGUUAGUCUAGCAAACUAAUGCCCUAUGAUAUAAUUCAAAAUAUCUGGUCUAUAAAUGAAAGUGUAAGCAUUUCACCUCAAGAGUAAUGUGGCAACGCAGGAACUGAAAUCACUAGACCGUUUCUGACACCAGUAGUGAAGUAUGUUAUUUAUGAAAAAAUCCCCCACACAA
rnacentral:rRNA from 1 species